rnacentral:rRNA from 1 species
CGGGAGUAAAGUUUUGUUUAAACCGAAAAAAUAUUGACUGACUUUAGAUUUUUCUUUGGAAUAUGUGUUUUUUUGGAGAGCCCUCUUUUAUAGUGAAUUUUGUUGGCGCAUGUAUGAUUGUUUAGUUUUUACUUUUUUGGUAAUGCUUUGUGUUUUAUACAUUUAAAACAGAUAUAUAUUUGGCUUAUGG